rnacentral:rRNA from 1 species
AUUGAACGCUGGCGGCAGGCCUAACACAUGCAAGUCGAACGAGUGGCGGACGGGUGAGUAAUGUCUGGGAAACUGCCUGAUGGAGGGGGAUAACUACUGGAAACGGUAGCUAAUACCGCAUACCAACGGAUGUGACCAGAUGGGAUUAGCUAGUAGGUGGGGUAAAGGCUCACCUAGGCGACGAUCCCUAGCUGGUCUGAGAGGAUGACCAGCCAUACUUGAACGUAGAUCCGGUCCAGACUCCUACGGGAGGCAGCAGUUGGGAAUAUUUCACAAUGGGCGCAAGCCUGAGUCAGCAACGCCGCGUGUAUGAAGAAGGCCUUCGGGUUGUAAAGUACUUUCAUCGGGGAGGCGUUACCCGCAGAAGAAGCACCGGCUAACUCCGUGCCAGCAGCCGCGGUAAUUC